AUCCCUUCUCAGCCUUUUGACUAAACUCAGCGUCGUAUCUGUUCUUAUGAGUUAAUAUCUGAUAUGUCCUCUAUCCCAGGACAUUAUAUUAAAUGGAUUUUUGGAUCUGGAAGGUGGAAUAGGAGCUUGCUCCAUGCACUCUGUGUAUCAACCCAGUAUUGCAAUACUUCCAGGAACAGUGCAAAAAAA